rnacentral:sRNA from 1 species
GCCAGGCGUGGUGGCACAUGCCUAUAAUCCCAGCAGCUUGGGAGGUUGAGGCAGGAGGAUUACGAGUUCAAAGCAGCCUCAGCAAAAGCAAGGCAUUAAGCAACUCAGUGAUACCCUGUCUCUA